GGCCUGAAAUACAGCAAUGUCCUUGCAGGGGGAAUCUCUGUUGUUUUGGAAGAAGGAAGAGAUAAAUCUAUUCAAAAUCCAAAACUAAUAUUUCAAAUUUACAGCAUGGAAUAUUUUCCUACAGAGAGGCCCAGUAAUAUGCAAAAGGGAGGAACAAUGGGCCUGCUUAAGUCUGGCUUUACAAAAUAUUUCCAUCUAGCUGCCUCUGCGUUUGAUGCUUUUCCUCUUCUCAGUGAACUGCAUUAAGCUCCAACCCAAAUGUUUCCAAGUGUUCCCACAGCAGCAGGCUCAAAAGAUGAUGUGAAGCAACAUAGGUACAUGAACUAUGAGGUGCAGGAGCAGCUGGAGAAGUUAUCACUAAUAAGUUUUGAAAGAUUUUGUGAAGUUGUGGUUUA